AUUUGGUUUAAGCGUUUUCAAUCCGGA
rnacentral:piRNA from 1 species